rnacentral:lncRNA from 1 species
AUAGACUUCCUUACUUCCUCCUUGUCUUUACCUUUCCCGUUCUUUAUAUUCUUUUCAUACUCUUUUUCAUGUUUUUCCAAGAAAGUGAUUUCUUACUCAUGUUCUUCUAAUUUUCCAAACAAAGUAAUGAUAUCAAGUACUUUAAGAUCAUUUCCUCUUUAAUAAUGGUGAAUUUUGGUUGCCAUUCCCUGUUAAGACAUCUCAAAACCUU